AGUUCGAUUAUGGCCUAGAUUGAACGCUGGCGGGAUGCUUUACACAUGCAAGUCGAACGGCAGCACGGACUUCGGUCUGGUGGCGAGUGGCGAACGGGUGAGUAAUGUAUCGGAACGUGCCUAGUAAGCGGGGGAUAAUCUGCGCGAAAGUGUAGCGACACGUGAUAUUGCCUGGGAAAGCGGGGACCUUCGGGCCUCGCACCAUUAGAGCGGCCGAUAUCGGAUUAGCUAGUUGGUGGGGUAACGGCUCACCAAGGCGACGAUCCGUAGCUGGUUUGAGAGGACGACCGCUUGGGACUGAGACACGGCCUGAAAUUCACGGGAGGCAGUGGGGAAUUUUGGACAAUGGGGGGAACUGAUCCAGCCAUCCCGCGUGUGCGAUGAAGGCCUUCGGGUUGUAAAGCACUUUUUGGCAGGAAAGAAACGGCACGGGAUAAUACCCCGUGCAACUGACGGUACCUGCAGAAUAAGCACCGCCACAUGUGCCAGCAGCCGCGGUAAUACGUAGGGUGCAAGCGUUAAUCGGAAUUACUGGGCGUAAAGCGUGCGCAGGCGGUUCGAAAGAAAGAUGUGAACCAGAGCUUAACUUUUGAACUGCAUUUUUGAAUCUACCGAGCUAGAGUACGAGGGAGGUGGAAUUCCGCGUGUAGCAGUGAAAUGCGUAGAUAUGCGGAGGAACACCGAUGGCGAAGGCAGCCCUCCCCGGGAUUACACCUGACGCCUGCGCAACGAAAGCGUGGGAGCAAACAGGAUUAGAUACUCCUGGUAGUCCAUGCCCUCUGCUGCCGAAUUUAGGUCGCUGGGCCUUCGGGCUCCUUGGUAUGCAGCUAACGCGAAGCGACCGCCUGUGGAGUACGGUCGCAAGAUUAAAAUCAAAGCGAACACGGGGACCUGCACAAGCGGUGGAUGAUGUGGAUUAAUUCGAUGCAACGCGAAAAACCUUACCUACCCUUGACAUGUCUGGAAUCCCGGAAGAGAUUUGGAGUGCUUCGGCAGGAACCGGAACACAGGUGCUGCAUGGCUGUCGUCAGCUCGUGUCGCUGAGAUGUUUGGGCGAGCCCCGCAACGAGCGCAACCUUGUCAUUAGUUGCUACGAAAGGGCACCUCAGACGAGACUGCCGGUGACAAACCGGAGGAAGGUGGGGAUGACGUCAAGUCCUCAUGGCCCUGGCGGGUAGGGCUUCAAUACGUCAUAACAAUGUCGGGACAGAGGGUCGCCAACCCGCGAGGGGAGCCAUCCCAGAAACCCGAUCGUAGUAAGUCCGAUCGCAGUCUGCAACUCGACUGCGUGAAGUCGGAAUCGCUAGUAAUCGCGGAUCAGCAUGUCGCGGUGAAGAUGCCCCCGGUCUUGUGCCACACCGCCCGUCACACCAUGGGAGUGGGUUUUACCAGAAGUAGUUAGCCUAACCGUAAGGAGGGCGAUUAAUGUGUGAUUCAUGACUGGGUAGUCGCAACAAGGU
rnacentral:rRNA from 1 species